CAAUAAUGAUUGAUUUCAUUUUGGUUCAUUGACAAUUUACCCUCUUUGGUCUCUUCUCUGGCUUGCAUGUUUUUAUUUUGAGACUUGUGGAUGAUGGAGUCAAAAUUUGGGAUUUUACUUUUGGGAAGGUCUGUAAAGAAGCAAUUACGCCACAAAAAACAGGUAAAAGGAGGGAGUAUGAAUAUGAUAAUGAGAAGGAAGUUAUUACAAAGAAGAAGAAGACAUGUGAGCAUGGAUCUCCUAUCACUCUAAACGAAAAUUAUGCUUCACCAAAGACAAUAUGUGUUAGAAACUUGUCAUAUAGUGUGGAACGAGCUGAUAUGGAGGAUAUUUUCAAAGAUUGUGGUGAAGUUGUAGAUGUCCAAUUCAUAACAGAUUGUGAAGGGAGGUUUAGAGGCUUUGGAUUUGUCAAAUUUGGAACAGUAGAAGCAGUAGACAAAGCCCUCAAAUUGCAUAAUACCGAAUUAUUGAAUCGUCGUAUCAAAGUAGACAAAGCUCGGGAAAAGAGUGAAUAUCCCACCUAUAGAAGGUAAUUAUUUAUAUCUUUUUGUAUAUGGUG